rnacentral:lncRNA from 1 species
GUAAAUAAAUCAGUUUUUUCUUCCUCUCUAAAUUUCUCUCGUAUUCUCUUUUCUGUGUGUUGUUGUCUAGCUUGUAUCAAAGAUAUCAGAGCUCAGACGUCCUCCAUGGCCGGCGAGGGUGCCAGAACAAGAUCUCUGAAAGAUGCAACUCAAAUUCAAUAGGAGUUGGCUAAGCUCCAGCUGGAGGUUAAUGAAACAGCAAGCUCGAUGCUAAGAUAAAGGACUUUAGGGAUGAUUUUAGAUUGGAGAUGAAGGAACUGUUUGAGCAGUAUUUAGGCCACUCAACACAAGCCACGCCCACCGCUUCUGCAGUUGACAAGGGGAAGGGAGUGGUAGGAGGGCAUCCACCUGGAUUCCCACCCAAAGAGCAUCUACCCCUUUCUCCUUCGGGUGAGCUGAGCAAUAUGUUGCGACCUAGUAGUUGGGAGACAUCGCAGAAAGUUCCCAAACUUGAGUGCCCUUGAUUUGACGGCUCAGAUUUUCAAGGAUGGUGGGCUAAACUUAAGCGGUAUUUUGAAGCGAAGGCACUCCAGACCACGCGAGAGUGUGAACAGUGAUGCUUCGCCUUGAAGGAAAAGCGUUAGAUUGGCAUCACUUCUUCACUCAACGGCAAGGGGGUUCCAUUUUUUGACAUGGCCAUCUUACGCUCACCACCUCAAAGAGCGCUUUGGGUCUAGCACCUAUAAGGACCCCAUGGCUGAACUGGUCAAACUCAAACAAAGAGGGACUGUGGAUAGUUAUCAUGACACUUUCAUCAGCCUCCUCAACCAGUUGCAACUACUUGAGAACUACGCUCUCAACAUCUUCACUAGCAACCUCAAGGCAGAAAUAGGUCAGUAUCUCCAACUAUUUAAGCCUACGUCCUUUGUUGAAGGGUUCCUAGUGGCUAGACAAGUCGGGAUAUAUUAGCUGCAUCCCCAAAAAAAAAGUUAACCUCCGGGAUUAGGGACAAAUCACAAAGGAGUUGCAUUGUUUCCAUCACCUGCUUCGCUGUCCAAGUUGCAUUCUGCUCCCAUUUCCCCUAAGGCAAUGACACAGAACAGUAAUUCAACUCCCACUACUAGUUCGAUCAGGAUUAGAUCUGUAAACCCGUAAACCGG